rnacentral:rRNA from 1 species
UACGUAGGGCGCAAGCGUUGUCCGGAAUUAUUUGGCGUAAAGAGCUCGUAGGCGGCUUGUCGCGUCGGAUGUGAAAGCCCGGGGCUUAACUCCGGGUCGGCAUUCGAUACGGGCAGGCUAGAGUUCGGUAGGGGAGAUCGGAAUUCCUGGUGUAGCGGUGAAAUGCGCAGAUAUCAGGAGGAACACCGGUGGCGAAGGCGGAUCUCUGGGCCGAUACUGACGCUGAGGAGCGAAAGCGUGGGGAGCGAACAGG